rnacentral:rRNA from 1 species
GAUGAACGCUGGCGGCGUGCCUAAUACAUGCAAGUCGAGCGAACAGGCGAGGAGCUUGCUCCUUUGACGUUAGCGGCGGACGGGUGAGUAACACGUGGGUAACCUACCUAUAAGACUGGGACAACUUCGGGAAACCGGAGCUAAUACCGGAUAAUAUUUCGAACCGCAUGGUUCGAUAGUGAAAGAUGGCUUUGCUAUCACUUAUAGAUGGACCUGCGCCGUAUUAGCUAGUUGGUAAGGUAACGGCUUACCAAGGCAACGAUACGUAGCCGACCUGAGAGGGUGAUCGGCCACACUGGAACUGAGACACGGUCCAGACUCCUACGGGAGGCAGCAGUAGGGAAUCUUCCGCAAUGGGCGAAAGCCUGACGGAGCAACGCCGCGUGAGUGAUGAAGGUCUUCGGAUCGUAAAACUCUGUUAUUAGGGAAGAACAAACGUGUAAGUAACUGUGCACGUCUUGACGGUACCUAAUCAGAAAGCCACGGCUAACUACGUG